rnacentral:lncRNA from 1 species
UAAGGAAUAUUCCCCUUUUUAAUUUCUCUCCCGUCAGUUUCCCCUUCCUACUCAUUUCAUUUUUUAUUUUUUAGGUGACAUUGUUCUACUCGCCAAACCUGUAACUUUAACAGAGGGUGACAGGGUGACCUUGACGACAGAUGUUCCUGUGGCAACAGAUGGCACUAGCAAACCCGAGAAGCUGCUGUACGCCGUCUCCCUGCCACCUGUGCAUGGUCAGAUUGAGCACAUCAAUUAUCCCGGCGUGCCCAUUUCCAGUUACCGCCAGUUGGAUGUGGUGGCCCAGAAGGUCUCCCACGUCCACGACAAUAGCCAUGGGGCCGGUAAGGAGUCACUCAGGUCUGUGAGCUGAACUUGACAGGAUUUUGCAGUUGGGACAAAAUCCUCUCAAAUCCUUUCCUCUGGUGCCCUUCUCAGCUGGCGUGAAUCAGCGAGGCUCCAUUUAAUUCAAUCAACCUACUCAAAUGUGCACCAGUUUAAGAUCCACCUUACUGUGUCUCAGUCAAUGAGCACUGGCCUUCUGGGAUGUCUGAGUUUGCCAUGAAAAAAUCACCUUUCUUCUUAAAAAACGAAGACCAUGCGUCGGACAUCAGAGUGUUACAACAAGAUUCUCCUCGUCAGCUACCAAAUGGAUGACAUUAGAAGGCCAACAGGAAAAUGAGGCCAAUGUGAUGGAUAACGGGCAAGCAGAGAAACAUGGACAAUGGGAGCAGAUCGUGUCAAUGCUGAUAACAAGCCACCCAUGCUCACACGUGUCAAAAUGUCUGCAUGGUGGAGCACAGCAUGGGAAUCCUGCUCAGAGGUCCUUCACCAGGUAGCCCUGCAUAGACCUUCAAAAAACCUUUCGUAUGUAUUUUCUCCUCACCUUGUUAUUUUGUGAAAUAACGUUUGUAUGUGAAAGAGACUGUUGUAUGUUGGGGCCAAUUAAAUAGGAUGAAAAUACUCCACUGGCACAAGGGAGGUGCUAGCAACAUUGGAAACUUCUAUUCCGUUGAUACUGAGUCAAUCAUGGCUUUCUUGUCAAGAGACUAAGAAAGGAGCCAGAAGGACCUGUAAUGCAGAUGAGCCAUUAACUGUCUACAGUGGUCUUCUGAUGCACCACCAAAUAGUAUUGAAUGACAAGAAUAUCAUGUAAAGACUAAGGCUUAGUGGGAAGAAGGUUGGAGAGAGCAAUCUCUUGAAUCUUGUGGCCUUCUCCUUGCUCAUUAGCACUUCCCCUUCCAAGGGAGCUCUAAUCAUUUUGGUUCAAAACAUGACACACUGGAAAUAGCAGAGACCUCAUCUUCAUGUCAGAUCAGAGUGUGUUAGAGGCAGAAAAAACUCAAGGUCCGAAAAAUCUUCCAAUUU